rnacentral:rRNA from 1 species
AACGAACGCUGGCGGCAGGCCUAAUACAUGCAAGUCGAACGCACCGCAAGGUGAGUGGCAGACGGGUGAGUAACGCGUGGGAACCUUCCUAGUAGUACGGAAUAACUUCGGGAAACCGUAGCUAAUACCGUAUAAGCCCUCCGGGGGAAAGAUUUAUCGCUACUAGAUGGGCCCGCGUCGGAUUAGCUAGUUGGUGAGGUAGUGGCCCACCAAGGCGACGAUCCGUAGCUGGUCUGAGAGGAUGAUCAGCCACACUGGGACUGAGACACGGCCCAGACUCCUACGGGAGGCAGCAGUAGGGAAUAUUGGACAAUGGGCGAAAGCCUGAUCCAGCCAUGCCGCGUGAGUGAAGAAGGCCUUAGGGUUGUAAAGCUCUUUUGGCGGGGAAGAUAAUGACGGUACCCGCAGAAUAAGCCCCGGCUAACUUCGUGCCAGCCGCCGCAGUAA